UACGAAGGGGGCUAGCGUUGCUCGGAAUCACUGGGCGUAAGCGCACGUAGGCGGGUCUUUAAGUCAGGGUGAAAUCCUGGAGCUCAACUCCAGAACUGCCUUUGAUACUGAGGAUCUCGAGUCCGGAGAGGUGAGUGGAACUCCGAGUGUAGAGGUGAAAUUCGUAGAUAUUCGGAAGAACACCAGUGGCGAAGGCGGCUCACUGGCCCGGUACUGACGCUGAGGUGCGAAAGCG
rnacentral:rRNA from 1 species